CCGCAAGGACAACGGUAUAGGUGCCUGCAUGGCGGUCGUCAGGUCGUGUCGUGAGAUGUUGGGUAAGUCCCGCAACGAGCGCAACCCUUGUCCUCUGUUGCCAUCAGGUUACGCUGGGCACUCUGAGGAGGCUGCCGGUGAUAAACCGGAGGAAGGUGGGGAUGACGUCAAGUCAGCAUGGCCUUUAUGUCUGGGGCUACACACGUGCUACAAUGGCCGAUACAAACCGUUGCAAGCCCGCAAGGGGGAGCUAAUCGGAGAAAGUCGGUCUCAGUUCGGAUUGUCGGCUGCAACUCGCCGGCAUGAAGUUGGAAUCGCUAGUAAUCGCGGAUCAGCAUGCCGCGGUGAAUACGUUCCCGGGCCUUGUACACACCGCCCGUCACAUCACGAAAGCUGGCUGUACUAGAAGUCGCUGCGUUAACCCGCAAGGGAGACAGGCGCCUAAGGUAUGGUUAGUG
rnacentral:rRNA from 1 species